AUGCUCCCUAACUCCGCCAUUGCCGGUCCCAAGCCCGGAUGAAAAAGGAGGAGGGUUGGUCAAUGGGUCCGAAACCUUUUCCCAUAAAAGACCUAUGGAGCAACUGAAACGCCUAAAUGAGUUCAAUGUUGUCAGAGAUUUUUCUACGUCAAAGCGCUUUAUGAUUUCUGCAGCAGAAUCUGUAAUGCUACACUACAGCAUGGAACAGCGCGUGAUAUUGCCAUACGUGUCCUGCCGUUGUCUGUGGUUUGGAAUUGUGGUCGCGUGUAUAUAUGUAAAUGAGGUGAUUGUCCUCUGAUGUUCUGCUAUUCAGUAGAGAACAAAGUUAUAUAUUUAAAACAAAAUGUUUGGCUUUGCCCAUGGAGUUUUUAUUUUAUUCCGCCUCAGCGGCCUGCUCUUACCUGCAUGUAGUGGAUCGUUAUAUCCACCAGCAAACGGGACGAGGUUGACAUUUUUGAAAGGAUCAACUGCAAGAAUAUCCUGGAGAUAUGAAGGU